rnacentral:rRNA from 1 species
CACGUAGUUAGCCGUGACUUCCUCGCCGGGUACCAUCACUCAGAAAGCUUUCCACUCUUUCUGCCUUUUGUCCCCGGCAACAGAGCUUUACGAUCCGAAGACCUUCCUCGCUCACGCGGCAUUGCUCGUUCAGGGUUUCCCCCAUUGACGAAAAUUCCCUACUGCUGCCUCCCGCAGGAGUCUGGGCCGUGUCUCAGUCCCAGUGUGGCCGUCCGCCCUCUCAGGCCGGCUAUGCAUCGUCGCCUUGGUGAGCCGUUACCUCUCCAACCAGCUAAUGCACCGCAGGUCCAUCUGCAUGCGGGACUCUUGUCCCCUUUUCCAAAAAGAAGAUGCCUCCUCUUUGCUCAUCCCGGUAUCAGCUUCCGUUUCCAGAAGUUCUCCCGCUCAUGCAGGCAGGUUCCCUACGUGUUACUCACCCGUUCGCCACUCAUAUCCGAAGAUAUCCGUUCGACUUUGCAUGUAUUAGGCUAUGCCGCCAGCCGUUCACUCCUGAGCCC